rnacentral:lncRNA from 1 species
CUGUCUGGCUGAGUUUUGAUUAAGUUAUUCCCAAGCCAUAUUUUGCUAUCUGAAGAUGGACAUUAGCAAACUAAUGCUUAAUACUCAUUGUCUUCUCAUGUACUCUUCAGAAGCUUUACUCUGCUUUUAGAGCUAUCUUGAUAUACAAGUGAAAUUGAAUGUGAAAUAUAAUAUCAAAUUUUUCUGGAUCUUAUGUGACUGUUUCAUUGGGGAACAAGUUUUCUUUAGCAUAGAACAGCAGAUCACUCCAAAACAACCCUAUUCUCUGGGCCUUUCCUAUUUUCUGGAGCACACUUCAGGAAGGUCUCCCUAGCCUCAUCUACCUACUCUCUGUUUCUUUGAUUAUAGAACAAUUCCAAACUGAGAGCAUUUAGCGUCCAUCCCCUUUAAAGAUCCAUCACUUUUAAAACUGAUAAGAGAUAUGCAUACACAAACA